UUUCCGUAGGUGAACCUGCGGAAGGAUCAUUACAGUGUUCUCUGCCCUCACGGGUAGAAACGCCCACCCUUGUAUAUUAUAUCUUUGUUGCUUUGGCAGGCCGCCCUCGGGCACCGGCUCCGGCUGGAUCGCGCCUGCCAGAGGAAACCCAAACUCUGAAUGUUAGUGUCGUCUGAGUACUAUCUAAUGGUUAAAACUUUCAACAACGGAUCUCUUGGUUCUG
rnacentral:misc_RNA from 1 species